GACGAACGCUGGCGGCGUGCUUAACACAUGCAAGUCGAACGGUGACGAGGAGCUUGCUCCUCUGAUCAGUGGCGAACGGGUGAGUAACACGUGAGCAACCUGCCCCAGACUCUGGGAUAACAGUUGGAAACAGCUGCUAAUACCGGAUACGAGACGGAGAGGCAUCUCUACCGUCUGGAAAGUUUUUCGGUCUGGGAUGGACUCGCGGCCUAUCAGCUAGUUGGUGAGGUAAUGGCUCACCAAGGCGACGACGGGUAGCCGGCCUGAGAGGGCGACCGGCCACACUGGGACUGAGACACGGCCCAGACUCCUACGGGAGGCAGCAGUGGGGAAUAUUGCACAAUGGGCGAAAGCCUGAUGCAGCGACGCCGCGUGAGGGAUGACGGCCUUCGGUUGUAACCUCUUUCAGCAGGGAAGAAGCGAAGUGACGGUACUGCAGAAGAAGCGACCGCUAACUACGUGCCAGCAGCCGCGGUAAUAUACG
rnacentral:rRNA from 1 species